rnacentral:rRNA from 1 species
GUGCCAGCCGCCGCGGUAAUACGGAGGGUGCAAGCGUUAUCCGGAUUUAUUGGGUUUAAAGGGUCCGUAGGCGGAUGCGUAAGUCAGUGGUGAAAUCUCACGGCUCAACUGUGAAACUGCCAUCGAUACUGCGUGUCUUGAGUGAGGUUGAAGUAGCUGGAAUAAGUAGUGUAGCGGUGAAAUGCAUAGAUAUUACUUAGAACACCAAUUGCGAAGGCAGGUUACUAAGUCUCAACUGACGCUGAUGGACGAAAGCGUGGGGAGCGAACAGGAUUAGAUACCCUGGUAGUCCACGCUGUAAACGAUGCUAACUCGUUUUUGGGGAUUUAUCUUCAGAGACUAAGCGAAAGUGAUAAGUUAGCCACCUGGGGAGUACGAACGCAAGUUUGAAACUCAAAGGAAUUGACGGGGGCCCGCGCAAGCGGUGGAUUAUGUGGUUUAAUUCGAUGAUACGCGAGGAACCUUACCAAGGCUUAAAUGAG